GCAGAAUUCUAGCUAAAGAUAAGAAGGGCAUCGCUUCAAAUGGGAGGCCAAUCAAUGCAGCAUUAGGAAGGCUUCAUUCAGCUCAGCACCACCUUGGUGAAGAUCCCGGUGUUACACAUCCAAUCGUUCACCUCCUUCCAAGACUAUGACAUUCCAGGAAACCUUCACUGCUAAGAGGAACUAAGAUCUAGAGUAUCUCCUCGAGGAAGUACAACUGGAUUCUCCCUCCUUGGUUCUUCCCUGGACCAAGGACAGAAGAAUCAUUCAACACAGAGGCUAUUGACAAAAGGGGCAUAUUUGGUGCAAACAGGGGUAAUUAAUAAGAAGUCCAGUGGCUCACACCUGCGAUCCCAGCACUUUGGGAGGCUGAGAUGGGCAGAUUGCUCGAGCCCAGGAAUUCAAGACCAACCUGGGCAACAUGGCAAAACCCCAUCUCUACAAAAAUACAAAAAUUAACCAGAUGUGAUGGUUCAUGCCUGUAGUCCCAGCUACUCUGGAGGCUGAUGUGGGAGGAUCGCUUGAGCCUAGGAAGUCAAGGCUGCAGUGAGUCAUGAUUGCUCCGCUCCACUGCACUCUGGCCUUGAUGAUAGAGUGAGAACCAGUCUCAAAAAAAAAAAGGUCAUUUUCUAAGCAUUUGUUGAUUCAAUACUGCCCACUAUGUACACUGACAAUUAGACAUAAUUUAAUUUCAGCUCAUGGUAUGAAUGGAGACAAAAUGAAAUCAUUUUAAUGCACAUUAAGGCAAUAUAGUGCCCUUAAAUAAAAAGUUGAAGUUCAUAAGGGACCAUCAUUAAGAUUUAACUUUGUAACAAAUAUUUUGUUUUUGUUUGUUUUAUUUUUAGAUUUGCAUAAUAAAACAUUCAUAUUCU
rnacentral:lncRNA from 1 species